CGAUAUCUUGGUAAAAUAUUCAUUUUUAAACUAGCGGGCAGUGAAAUCUUUGCUUUGUGUGCUAAAGUCAACAGUCGCUCGGUUUGAGCUCAAAUAAAUGCGGGGAUGCCUCGGCUGGGAGCAGUCCGCCACCUCCCUCCCAGCGCUGGACGCUCUGUCUCCCGCCCGCCCUCCAGCCGGCCACCACAGGAACCCCAGGGGUGCAGACCGGUUCCGCUGCGACUGAGAAGAUAGCCCUGAGGCUCCGGGGCAGAUCCUGGAACUAAUUGCCAUUGAUGCGAAACAUGUGACCUUCUCCGGGUGCCCAGUAUGAGAAUGUUGCCAUCUGUACGACAUAGAACCACAAAGCAGCAAGAACAGAGGAAAAAAUUUGCUUAUUCUCAACUACUGACACAAAAAGAUGAGCCAGAGAAAGGACAUUGGAAAACUUCAAAACGCAUUGUAUUGUCUGUCUGCCUGGAUUUUGUCUGGGAGGACAGGUAGGAGAAGCAUUUUUUCAUCCCCCCAUUUCUUUGCUUAUUGUUAAGUGAGUGACACCCAAGGGUAUCCUGGGGGCUCUCUGCUCCCCACCGCUCACUUCAGGGCAAAGUCCAUGGCUCCUGUGACUCAGAUCUUUCUGAAUGGGAACAAAACCGUCUCACAUGGGCAUCCAGUCACAGAGGCAGAUUUUUUUUUUUCACUAAAGGCAAUUUAAAAUUUUUGACCUGGUGACUGAAAGUGGACGCUCUCUCUGGAGUGUGGGGGGUGGCCAAGGGUGAGAUGGUGGCAGCGGGAAAGGCCACCACCCAGGGACAGCUUGAAGCCAGAAUUCUGGAGGAAACAUUAUUAAUAAACAUCUUCUGGACAUUUGGCAGCCCAUGGAGCUUGCUCCAGCUUAAAGCAAUUAAUUCAGGACACCGACAUCAACUCUCCAGGUCUUUGACAGCUUGGAGCCGAAAUAAAAAUGCUAGUUCUCCGGGGAAGAGAGGAGGAGGGCUGGCUCUUUGCUGGACUGUUUGCUUAUGGGCCCAGCGAGCAACCUUCCCCGCAGAAUGAAAUGCAAGGUCGCAAACAACGUACCGGCAGAGAAUAGAAGAUGGGAACGAACAGUUUGAACUAUUUGCUCAGCAGAAGCACCACAAUGCUGGGGUACUGGCUUUCCCAUGCAUCCACUGUCCCUUCUCUGGGGUCUUUUGUUGUCCCUGUCUCCUUUGGCCAUCUCCUGCUAAGAUAAGAACACAGCUGCAGCCUCGCAGCUAAGUAAGGCUGCACUUAUCCCCCUAAAUCUCGGGGUGCCUUUACUGUACCGGGUAAA